GUUUUGUCAGUAGUUAAUCUGUGUGACUAUCAUAACCCUCUUGUGCUUCUCGAGGCUAAGUCUCGCAAGGACAAGUCUUGCCAUCAGGGACAUCGAUGGAACACUGAAGAAACUCGUGAAGACCCAGUGAGGGUGGAGUAUAGCGGGGCAGGAGUGAGGUGGUGUGUUGGUCUAGCCGUACUGAGGAACACACUAUGGAGCAGAUACCCAGCUCAGCAUUUCAAAUGCCAUUUGAUGGACUAAUUAAGAAUGACAAGCGGAAAGAAACGCUUUGAACGAAGUGAUGACAACUGGCUGGAGGACAAAGGCUCGGGAAAUAAGUAUGGUUGUCCCAAAAUUAAUACCAGGAAUAGGUUCAAAGGUCGUCCUGUGGACUUCAGACAACAGUGGAGAGGGUAUGUGGUUCGUAUCAGCGGUGGCAAUGACAAGCAGGGCUUCCUCAUGAAAUAAGGUGUCCUCACUAAUGGCCGUGUUAAGCUCCUCCUCAAGAAGGGGCACAGUUGUUACAGACCCAAACGCACUUGAGAGAGGAAACGCAAGUCAGUGAGAGGCUGCAUAGUGGACAGCAACCUGAGUGUGCUCAAUCUAGUCAUCAUCAAGAAAGAUCUGUGCCCGGCCUUAUACUGUGUUCCGAUGGUGUCCUGGUGCUAAGAUGCGCUACAAGAGAACAGAGGUCUUCCAAUCAUGUGCCCAACUCAAGAACGUCUUUCAAACCUGUCUCCUUGGGUGUCAUACAGGAUUUUGAAGUAGAUGGGGGAAAUAAGAAAAAUGGCAACGACUUCUGCGUACAUCCUGGUGGUGAAGAGGGAAGUGAGCUAUUCCUAGGGAUUUCAAGGGUGUCUUUCUCUUUUUGGAGCAGUAGUCGCCAAUUAGCUUCUUGGCCAACUCGAGACGAAAUGAGAGGAGGGUUUUCAGUGCGUUGGUGGGUGAAUACUGUCGAUAUAAUAUGUAGCUGUUCGUAAUGCAAAUAUCCUUUAGGAAGAAGUAAAUGUACAUAUAAAACUUAUGGACUUUUGUAGGGCAUCUGUAGUACCCUCUGAGCUGAUCCCCUCUGUCGACACCCCCCAUGAUAGUCCUCGAUGCUCAGUGGGACGGGACGGAGAUUUUCUCGCCUGUCUUGACUGUACGUUGUACAGAGGUGACCGAAGUGGCGUCAGAGGCUGUGGAGAUCAUACGGACAACCCUAUUGUCGCUGAGACCGUCACCUUUUUCUUUCUGCAGAGUCAUGUAUUCCCCCCUGAAAAGGUUUAUUUGGGAGGUAUACUGUUUCAGUGCAGAUCUACCCUGAAACUUUAUCAUUGCCUCGUCUACUUCAACUUCACGGCCUAAGUUGUAUGCAGCAGAACAGCGCUCGUUGAUCUUAUUGAAGAGGGGGCGUACUUUGGCCAAACGAUCGCUACCUGGGGUGCCUGUAGUCGGGAGAGUGGUGUUGUCCGUGAAAUGGAGGUAUCGUCGGAUGUCCCUAAAUCGAUCGCGUGAGAUCUUCGAUGCAAUUGUGGUAAAGAAAUGCUGGGAUAUGUCUAAGGGAGAACUUGAGAUGGAUACAGCUGGGCCUACAUAUUGGAUGAAGGCCUCUCGAGAAUGGUCUUGAAGGGUGGGAGUCCAAGGGCAGGGGGAACUGUUUCAGCACGGACUCACAGUCACUGCAGCAGGCUCUCUGUUACCUGCACUGUCAGGGGAUUGUUCACAAUGACCUGAGACUGCCGGGUCAUGGCAUCAUUAAGAGGUCAGUACAUAGUUACAUGGGCAUGACCUCUGUAAUCUGAAAUACUGAGGUCAGAGGUCAUGAGUAUAUGUUUAUUGCUUUUGGGCCUAAAUUUUAUAUUUUUUUGAAGAAAGAGCAAGGAUAUAGAGAGUGUCAUACAGGGGGGAUAUUCCCCCUGCAUUCAUGCAGGUACUAGUUGGGGUCCAUAGCUGGCAAUUUUACAUACUAACAGCUAUAGGGUAUUGAAGUAACAGUUGACCUUUUUUUUUAGCUAGUUACAUUUCAACAAUCAUUUCCCACUAUAAUUAUACGUACGGUAAUCGUCUAAUUUCAUGCUAAAGUAUGUAUGUGCCUUUUGAUGGAGGAAUCAAUGAUUGAUUUUAGUAUACGUAGCUAUACCCACAUUGUACUAUUAUAUACAGCUAAAAUCCUGCACACACACCCCACACACACCCCACCCACACACACCACAUCACCCACACACACACCCACACACCCAUACCCACACACACACACACACACACACACCCACACACCACCCACACAUACCACACCCACAGGCACAAGGCAGACUAGUGUCCUCCUGGUGAAGCUACACCUUCAACUGUAUGAGAUGUACACACAAGAACACAAUCUGCUUGACUUCGAUCAAGAGUGUACUAACUUUAAUUUAUUAGCUUACUAGUGACCUACGUAUAUACCACCAUUAUUUCCAUUUCUUUCAUGCAUGUUUGGUCAUUGCAUUUCUUGAUAAUUAUAAUCAUGAUGACUAAUGGUGACUAUUUUGGUCACUAUAUACCGUAAAUAUGUAUAACACUCUCUUGGUGAGACCAACAAAUUUACUGCU